rnacentral:rRNA from 1 species
CGGCAACAGCUCAAAUUUGAAAUCUGGCCUCUUUCGGGGUCCGAGUUGUAAUUUGUAGAGGAUGUUUUGGGUACCGCGCUGGUUUAAAUUUCUUGGAACAGAAUGUCAGAGAGGGUGAGAGCCCCGUACGGUUGGACGCCUAGCCUUUGUAAAGCUCCUUCGAC